UUUCGCAAGUUUAUUUUUUUUAUUCACUUAUAAUCCCAAAAGUUUAAUAGUGUCAUUCUAGUUCAUUAGAUUGUUAUUCUAAUUCUUAUAAUGAUGCACGUCUCUAUUUCCAUUAACAAUACCUUCCGUGAUUGGGGAGUUAACAUCUUCUUCAUCUCCUGUAGUUUUUACAUCUUCUUCAACAGAUCUGCCUUUAUUAUUGUUUUAUAUGUGAUCAUUUUCUUGUCUGAUUCGUAUGUGUUCUUAAUAUUAUUCUACACUCCGUCGUCGUUUGUUUCAUCGUUCGUGAAGCAAGCAACAGAUUUUUGCCGAUGGCGUAGUAAUGUCUACAGCACAAAAGAAGAAACUAAUAGAGGACUUUUAUUGGGUAGAGGCACCCCAAGAUGUAGAUGUUCACCCACCAGAAGUCGUCAGCACGAAGGGAUCCGGAAGUACAGUUCCCACAAGAGUGGAGAAGGCUUUAAAGCUUAAGAGCAAGCCUUUGCGUCAAUGCAAGAAAUGUCAGGAGUGGGGUCACCGCGAUUCAAGGAAUUGCGACAAAUUCAAAGAGAAAGAAAAGUGGCGGUCUAGAAUAAAUACUGAAGUUUGAUACUAUGUAUUCUCUUUUUUAAAGCAACGUCAGUUUAUGCUUGGGUUAUUGUUUGUGUAUUCUUCGGCCGUAUUAAUAUUGGGUUUUUUUAAUAUGUCAAAAA